GUUUGGUUACAGAUGGUAUACAAAUUUUUAGUUUGUACGUGGAAAAUUAGGAUGCGAUAUUCAGUUUGACAUACAUUUAGAGCAUGCUUUCAAUGUUAUGGACAUGGAGAAAGACAGACAAUCUUUUAAUCAUUUUAAUAUGAAAAAGAACAGAACCGUUUCUAAUUCAAUGUAUCCUCAGGUCUCAGUUUUGGAUGGACUUGUUUGGAGAUUUAAGAGACUCCGGAAACUUCAACGGAAGCGUUGAGCACCAGUGUUUCCUCAGAUUCUGCUUCACCAGAGUUCUGCAGAAAGACCUGGAUGAAUGCAAAAAUCUCUGGAAUAACCACAGGAUCCGGCCAAGCAGACUUGCAUCAUGUCCUGGGGGGAUUCCAAACGAACUCUAUCUCUUGCCUCACAGAUAUGGUUCAAGAGAUUGUGGAUUUCCUGUUGAGGACAGUGAUCUGGAUGUUUUCCCAGAAGCAAGUCAGGUGACAGAGUUGUGUGGUGAUAAAGACAUGGAGGAAUACCUACAGCAAGUCAUGCAACAACAUGGACAACAGCAGUCACAAAACUGGGAGUCAGCUAUGGAACUGUAUUUAUUCCUCAAACACAUAGCAAGGCUGUAGACACAAACAAUCUGAAUAAAUUUUUUUUUUAAUAUUUUGUGUCCUGUUCAUUUUACUCAAAUGAAAACUCAUUGUUAUGGUAAGAACAUUAUAACAUAAAAUAUUAUCUAUUUUUAGAUAUUUUCAUAUGAUAGCCCUUCUAAAGUGGCAGUUUAUUCAUAGUUAUCAGUUUAUGAAGUCAACAAUCCCUUUGGGCAAAUUCUGUUAUUUGAGACUGGUGUAUGUCUGGUUUAGGCUCACAAAGCUCUACAAUAUAAAAUUUUGUAUCAUCUUAAAAGGGAAUACACUCGGCUUUCAUUUAAGCCAAGUUUUGAAUCUGACCAACUCAGAGGUCACCACAGCUUGUUAAACAGAAAUAACACGAACCCUUUUUGCCUUACCAAGAAACAUUGUUUUUAGUCCAGUGGUAUCCAGGGACAUCAGGGACACAGGAGUUGACAACUGAAAUACUCAGACUAAGAAAUCCGGAAAUGUAUACCGUAUACAGUUUUUUAGAUUAGCCUACCAUUAUGUAAUCCCUAAUGACCACAUAAAAACAUGACUGCAUGGUAGUAUAGAUUUGGUACAUUUCAGGAUUUCUUAGUCUGAGUAUUUCAGUUGUCAACUCUUGUGUCCCUGGAUACCAUUGGAUUACAAACAAUGUUUCUUGGUUAGGUGAAAAGGAUUCAUGUUAUUUUGUUUUAACAAGCUCUGGUGACCUGAUUUGGUCAGAUUCAAAAGUUAGCUUAAAUGAAAGCCGAGUGUAUCCCCUUUUAAGAUGAUACAAAAAACUAUAUUAUGGACAUAUUACAAAUGCCUGGACCGUGAGCCUAAACCAGACAUACACCACUCUAAAAAGAAUACAGAAUUUGCCCUAACAGAUUGUUGACUUCAUGAGCUGAUGUCCCUUUCAAAGCUAUCACUUUGAAAAGGACAUCAUAUUAUCUAAUCUUUUCAGAAAUUAUGGCAAGGCUUUGCCACCCAGAAAUGGAGAACAACAUGGUCUGACCCAUGGAGCAACCAUCACAAAAUUAGCUGAAUCCCAACAGCAUUAGAACAAGACUGCCAAGAAAUCUCUUCUUUCAGUUUCAGUAGCAUCCGAAUCCCGGAGCAUUUUGUAUUCCAAAGUCCAUGUUAGCCCUAAAAGCAGCGUAAGAUUCCAAAAGUGGCAGUUUCAGUGUAUUUGCACAGGUGUUUGCAACAGGAAAGGGUGAAUCACUCAAAAACUCAAGGUGUGGGGAUGGCAUCAUGCCUGCUGGUGGAAUCGCUGUCAGACCUGUAGCAAACAUCAGGACUUCCUCUAGACAUACAGCAGUGUUUUUCUCUGAAAAAUUAAAAACAAUGUAGUUAAUAGAUAAUGCAUUGCACAAAUGAUUUAUUUUUAUGUAUGCUUUCCUCCUAAUAAAACAAAGG